rnacentral:tRNA from 1 species
GCCGGAGUGGCGGAACAGGCAGACGCAAGGGACUUAAAAUCCCUCGGAUAUUUAUAUCCGUCCCGGUUCGAUUCCGGGCUCCGGCA